UCCGUAGGUGAACCUGCGGAAGGAUCAUUUUCGAUUAAUAGACGCUCGCAAGAGGUCUUAAAUCUUAACUUCACACACUGUGCACUUGAAGCUUUUUUAAGCUUGUCAAAUUUUAACACUUGUAAUUUAAAGUUGAUGAUGUAUAAACUUGAUAAAGAAAAUUAAUAAUUUUCAGCAACGGAUCUCUUGGCUCUCGCAUCGAUGAAGAACGCAGCGAAAUGCGAUACGUAAUGUGAAUUGCAGAUCUACCCUGAAUCAUCGAAUUUUUGAACGCACCUUGCGCUCUUUGGUUAUUCCGAAGAGCAUGCCUGUUUGAGUGUCGCGAACCUCUCAACCCCGCCUAAUGGUUUUAUUACUAUAAGGUAGAUUGGGCUUGGAUCAUGGUCUUUUGCCGGUCUUAAAUGGCGUUUUGUUAAAGGAACUGCUCUAGAUCUAUGGCUGGACUGAAAUACAACAAGCUAAAUGAAUGCAUUGCGGUUUGAACUUGACGUUGUAAAACUUUUCAACUCGUUGAGUGACGUGAUGGGAUCAAUAAGCUUUCCAAAUGACUAAUUUGAUUAGUGCAAUCAGACCUCAAAUCAGGUAGGACUACCCGCUGAACUUAAGCAUAUCAAUAAGCGGAGGAAAAG
rnacentral:rRNA from 1 species